rnacentral:rRNA from 1 species
GACGAACGCUGGCGGCGUGCUUAACACAUGCAAGUCGAACGGAAAGGCCCUGCUUUUGUGGGGUGCUCGAGUGGCGAACGGGUGAGUAACACGUGAGUAACCUGCCCUUGACUUUGGGAUAACUACAGGAAACUGGGGCUAAUACCGGAUAGGAGCUCCUGCUGCAUGGUGGGGGUUGGAAAGUUUCGGCGGUUGGGGAUGGACUCGCGGCUUAUCAGCUUGUUGGUGGGGUAGUGGCUUACCAAGGCUUUGACGGGUAGCCGGCCUGAGAGGGUGACCGGCCACAUUGGGUCUGAGAUACGGCCCAGACUCCUACGGGAGGCAGCGGUGGGGAAUAUUGCACAAUGGGCGGAAGCCUGAUGCAGCAACGCCGCGUGCGGGAUGACGGCCUUCGGGUUGUAAACCGCUUUCGCCUGUGACGAAGCGUGAGUGACGGUAAUGGGUAAAGAAGCACCGGCUAACUACGUG